UACGUAGGGUGCGAGCGUUGUCCGGAAUUAUUGGGCGUAAAGAGCUUGUAGGCGGUCUGUCGCGUCUGCUGUGAAAAUCCGGGGCUCAACCCCGGACUUGCAGUGGGUACGGGCAGACUAGAGUGUGAUAGGGGAGACUGGAAUUCCUGGUGUAGCGGUGAAAUGCGCAGAUAUCAGGAGGAACACCGAUGGCGAAGGCAGGUCUCUGGGCCACUACUGACGCUGAGAAGCGAAAGCAUGGGGAGCGAACAGG
rnacentral:rRNA from 1 species